rnacentral:tRNA from 1 species
GCAGAUAUGGUGCAUCGGUAACACGCUAGCUUCCCAAGCUGGAGAGGCGGGUUCGACUCCCGUUAUCUGCU